CAUCCACACUUCAUGCUCAUCCAGGGAGACUGACUGCCUUUUCUUGAUCAAAAGAGGAUCUAACCCAGGAGGACUGGAAGACUCAAACUAGGGGAAAACACAGUUCAGACUUAAAGACUACUUUAUAGGUUUUGUGGAUUGUAAAACAAGUUAUACAAGAGCCCAUGGAACUACAGAACCUCAAAGGAGACACUGUUUUUUUCUGAAAUGUACUGGGUGGACCACCAAGGCAGCAGCUGUCUGGCUGUUCUCUGCUCUGAGGCAUCAGUGAUAAAGCUGCAGUUAUACCUUUGCCCUCAGUGCUCCCAGAUUCAGUUUCUCCAGAUGACCCAAGAUGACGUGGUACUUGGUUGUGUUGUUUGAAACUGCCGGUCUGUUCUCUGCAACAAGAAGAUGGAAUAGGAAUUAGGAGCCCUGAGAGCAUCCACCUUGUGUCUCACCCACAGCUGCACGGUGUAUGCUGUGAGACCGGCGCAUACGGAAGAGCAGCAGUAGGCUUUUCCUCUCAUGCCUACCACUGCCAAGUGAUGUGUGUAGCUUCAGUGAAAGAGGUUUUUGUCAUGGAACUGAAAACUAAAUUCCAAUUAAACUCCCCUGAUCUAUGUAGAGUGGUCUUAUUUCACAUAUAAAUAUAAGCUACUGUAUGUAUGUGACAGUAAUUGAAAUCCUUUUAUAGUGCACAACAUUCUUGUUAAAAGUGAAUUUGUAUGCUGCUUGGUAUUUGUUGUACAAUUGUGCUUUUUAGUGCUUAAUUUUUGGUUAACAUGGCUUGCCUCUUUAAGAACACUUUUUGCUACGAUAUUUUAUAUUUGAGACAAAGAGCGGUCUGUGGGAUAUUUUGCUCUUGUACCCAAUGAGUAAAAGGCCCUGCUUGUCUAAGCACCAAGAAAGGUCAAACACAGAUUUCAAGAAAGGAAGCAUCAUCUUCAAAACUGCAAGAUUAGGGUUUGUUUGAGCCUGGAUACAACAGGAUUUCCUCAGCAAGGUACUAAACCUUUCACCUCAUAUUGAACCUUUUACUAUGCCUCCCACCCAGCUCAGCAUUUUGCAUUUUGUACUGUAUUACAAAGUCUUUGGAAUAGGGACUAUUCCUUACUACAUGUUUGUGUACUGCACUGCACAAUGGGCCCCAGUCUUGUUUGGAUCCUGCCUUGAGUCUUUCUGUGUUAGGGUCCAAAACCAUAUUACUCAUAAUGAAUUUGCAACGCAAAUUUGACAGCACUCUACUAGUCACACGAAGUACAAGAAUAGAAAGUUGUUCAAAAGUUCAAACUAUAAUUAAAUCAUUUUGCACUGAAAAAUGAAAUUUUUUAAACUUAUAUUUUGAAAGAGAGCUGCAGUCUGUAGUCCAGCAGAAGUACUGAUUUGGGGAAGACAAGGAAGAUCCGUGACUGUAUAUUCAACCAGUCUGAUCUAUGAAGAUGUUUCAGAACACCUGCUAAAAAUACUCUAAUAAAACACCACAAUAAUUAGAGCAACACAAUAGUAUUAAUCACAUAAUGAAGUACAAAGUGUUAUGUAUAUAUUUUGUAGGAUUAUUUUAAUUUUGAAAAUUAAGCAGAGAAAGCUACAAACAAAUUCUUAGAUUCCUUGCAAUGAAAAGGUAUGAUU